rnacentral:rRNA from 1 species
UACGUAGGGUGCAAGCGUUGUCCGGAUUUAUUGGGCGUAAAGAGCUCGUAGGCGGUUUUGUCGCGUCUGCCGUGAAAGUCCGGGGCUCAACUCCGGAUCUGCGGUGGGUACGGGCAGACUAGAGUGAUGUAGGGGAGACUGGAAUUCCUGGUGUAGCGGUGAAAUGCGCAGAUAUCAGGAGGAACACCGAUGGCGAAGGCAGGUCUCUGGGCAUUAACUGACGCUGAGGAGCGAAAGCAUGGGGAGCGAACAGG